rnacentral:rRNA from 1 species
UUUAAAUUUAGAGUUUGAUCCUGGCUCAGGACGAACGCUGGCGGCGUGCUUAACACAUGCAAGUCGAGCGAUGAAACUUCCUUCGGGGAGUGGA